CCGCUUCCGGCUUGCCUCUGCCUCUCCGCCUGCCCCGCCGCCCUUCGCCUACUGCGUCGCCAGCGCCUCCCUCCACUUGUAGCACCCGCCGUUGUCCUCCUGCCAGGCAACCCACCGACAUCAUCUUCCUGGCGCCGACUCCCUUCCCACUGUGGCCUUGCCACAGCCGCCGCGUGGUCGGCCUCCAAUUCGGCGGGUGCCGCCCGCCACCGCAGGGCCAUCGUCGUCAGCUACCUCCCCCUCCUCUCCCCUCCCAGUCCCAUCCCCCUCUACUUUGAUGUGGGUAGCAAUCCAGGCAUUGGAGGCCCCAUAUGCAGCUCGCACGAGCUGCAAAACGAUGCGACGCAUGAGCUCCUACUGGCCUCCCUUUGACAGACCUCCCACUGGAGACUUCCGGAGCUCCCAGAGUGCAACAACGAAGGUGACCACGGAUAGCAGCUCGCACGGCUGCAGAUCGACGUAAUGCCAACGCAAUCAGCAGCUCCAGUCAUAGCCUCCAAUGUAGGUACAUCUCCACCCGUUGCCUCCACUGUCUGCAAGAUGUUCGACAAAAUGUGCAUGUCCUAACACAGGAAGCAUCACAAUCCUUCACCCCUGUAAUUUUAUUCUAUGCCAACAAAGUUAUAUUUCCUGGCUAGCCAGCUCAACGGUGGGCACGGCAAAGCUGGCAGCAUGAGAGCCACACAGCAAUAGGUACGUACCCCCGUACGUUCCAUCGAUGGUGUAGAUAAAAUGUACCUGCCCAUAAGUAUAUUGAAAUGCGCUCCUUUUUCUAUCGCCCUUGAAUAAAUGAAACUAUAGUGGAUGCACAUGUUAACUUAAAAAAAAAUAGUGGCUGCACAUGUUGGAAGUAGUGAAGAUGCAGUGCAAAAAAUUAGAUGCUGUUAUUAGAUCAAGUAGGAUAUGCAUGAUCUGCUCAAUCAUAGUUGCAACUUAUUCGAGGAUCCUUGCUAUUUACUGGGUCCAUACCGUGCAGCUAACAGAAGCACCUUUUUUAUCGCAACAAUCAUCAGGGAUAUUCUAACUAAAGUUCAGCAGCUUAUCUCUUGGGACUGCUCUACCAGAAAUAGAAGGUUGCAGCGAUAAAUUAAUGAUUUCUCCUUAAUACUAAUAUAACUUAUAGUAGAUAUGUAUUCAUUGGGUGCCUUGAUAGUGGAAGCACUUAAUAAAGAUUUCUGGGUUACAUUGGGUUCAGUAUCAAGUGAUCGGCCUUCGAAGCAGCACUCUUUUAUUCAGGCACAACAUACCUUUUCAACUGGUUUUAUAUAUUCUGGCUGAAAGUAUUCUAUUUUCCUUUGCUGUACAAUAGGGACUCUACCAAAGAAAUUGUCAUUGGGUGUCUUGAUAGUGGAACCACUUAAUAAAGAUUUCUAGGUUACAUUGGGUUCAGUAUCAAGUGAUCUGGCUUCGAAGCAGAAGGGACUCAGGUGACAAGCAAUUGGCAACACAAACAUUUGAUCGUGCUUGAUUGUGAAGAACUUGAUUAGCUAGCGACAUGUGCUUAUUGGAUUUCACAGUGGAGGAAAAACAUUUCUUUUACAGCAUCUUCAUCUUGCAUGUCAUAGCAGCUCCUAGCAAGGUGUCAAGCUCUGUUUUUCUCUGUUUCUGUUGUGGAGCCUUAAAUUUUCUGUUGUGGAGCUACCACUUGUAGCGCCAGUUAGCUACUGAUAUGUUUGCUUAGACUACAUAUUCCUAUAGAUUUCUCAGUAUUAAGAAACCUCUGCAUAGGUCUUAUUUUAUUUACUGUACCAUCCCUCCAAUGGCCAUAGUCGACAUUACCUCCACUGCCAACAAGGUGUUCGACAAAAUGCCAAGCUCCCAGGCGUAUAGCAUACUUACUUUG